AGGGGUUAGGAUAGAGGAGAGUGGGAGAAAAGGGUGCCCCUGGGUGCGCGGGAGGUCGAGGAAGCUAACGCGUCUCGCCGCGAAGGCCGAGAGCUCGCCGACGGCUCACUGGAGCUCGCCGGAGCCGCGGCGCUAGGAAGGAGACGGAGCUGACGGGCGGGACCCGCCCGUCAGCGACCGCGUGAGAGAGAGAGGGAGAGGGCGCGGGCGCGGGAAGCGCUCGGGCCAGAGUGGACCGUGUCCACGCGGGCCGUCUGCGCGGCGCGUGAGCAGGCCGAGCGCGCGUGGGCCGGCUUGCGGGCCAAGUUCCAGGCCGCCCGCCGCGCGAAAAAUCUUUUUCUUUUUUCCUUUUGUGCAAUUUUUUUUUUUGCUGAAUGUUUGAAAUUGUGUAGAAAAUUGUAGGUUGAUCCAAAAAUCAUGGAAAUUUUUGUGUAUAUUCCCUAAAAUAAGUAGGACACAAGAAAAAUAGUGGAUUCUGUUUUCUGGUAGUUUACAUGUCUGUAAAAAUUUGCCCUUUUAAUUAGCAAAUGAAACUUGUAUGAUUUAUAAUAAUUUAUUUGUAUGUCCAAAAAUCACCAAAAAUUGUGGGGAGCCUCUGAAUAUUAUUAUUCCCUGACUCCACCCAAAAUUUGGUGGCAUUUGGAUAUUGUUAGAUUAGAAUACUAAUAAACCCUUAUUUAGUACUUAAAUAAUAAUUCCAAAACCAUUAAACAAUAAUUAAUUAAGUUCUCAUGAUUAGGGUUGAGUGAUUUUGGGAUUGUGUGAUGACCUGAGGUCAUUAGCCCUAAUGACCUUUGGCAUUUAAUUAUUGUUUAGCCUUAAUGCUUAAUUACUGUCAUUAGUAAUUAAUUAAGAGUUAAUUAAGAUAAUUAGGAUUAAUAAUUAACUAAUUUAAGAUAAGUAUGAAUUAAAUAAAGUCUUAGUUCACAGAUGCAACCUCUUGGGUAAAAACAUUAAGUUAUUAAGCAACUUUAUUUAGCGAUGAUUCUGUAUUGCAUCAAGAAGGCGAGUUGUACUCGAUUUGGUCCUUCUUGCAUAAUUGUCAUACGCAUAUCAUGAGCAUUCAUCAUUUUGCGUAUAGUGUCCGUGACCGAAGGAGCGCCCGUUGAACCGAACCCCGAGGUCGGUGCUCCGUUCGAGGAAGUCGGAUCCGAGACUUGGGAAGUCUCCGAGGGUCCCUCUCUGCCCUGCAACCAAGGCAAGCCCCGGAUGCAUUAACCCCUCCUUGGAUGUCUUAAAUCUUUUGUCACUUAUGAAUUGAAAAUGCUGCAUUAGGUAGUUGAGAAUUGGGUUAACCUACUUGCUGCAUUUACUACCUUGAUAUCUGUAUCCUGUCCUUGACACCUGUUUUAUUUUAAAACAGCGUAGCGAUGCUUAGCCCUGCUACUAGAUAGGUUUUUAAACAAGAAAGUUUGAAGGGUUGUUGUG
rnacentral:lncRNA from 1 species